rnacentral:rRNA from 1 species
CCUACGGGCGGCAGCAGUGGGGAAUAUUGGACAAUGGGCGAAAGCCUGAUCCAGCCAUGCCGCGUGUGUGAAGAAGGCCUUCGGGUUGUAAAGCACUUUCAGUGGGGAAGAAAGCCUUGGGGCUAAUACCCUCGAGGAAGGACAUCACCCACAGAAGAAGCACCGGCUAACUCCGUGCCAGCAGCCGCGGUAAUACGGAGGGUGCGAGCGUUAAUCGGAAUUACUGGGCGUAAAGCGCGCGUAGGCGGUCUGAUAAGCCGGUUGUGAAAGCCCCGGGCUCAACCUGGGAACGGCAUCCGGAACUGUCAGGCUAGAGUGCAGGAGAGGAAGGUAGAAUUCCCGGUGUAGCGGUGAAAUGCGUAGAGAUCGGGAGGAAUACCAGUGGCGAAGGCGGCCUUCUGGACUGACACUGACGCUGAGGUGCGAAAGCGUGGGUAGCAAACAGGAUUAGAUACCCGGGUGUC